rnacentral:rRNA from 1 species
AUUGAACGCUGGCGGUAGGCCUAACACAUGCAAGUCGAACGGCAGCACAGUAAGAGCUUGCUCUUACGGGUGGCGAGUGGCGGACGGGUGAGGAAUACAUCGGAAUCUACUUUUUCGUGGGGGAUAACGUAGGGAAACUUACGCUAAUACCGCAUACGACCUACGGGUGAAAGCAGGGGAUCUUCGGACCUUGCGCGAUUGAAUGAGGCGAUGUCGGAUUAGCUAGUUGGCGGGGUAAAGGCCCACCAAGGCGACGAUCCGUAGCUGGUCUGAGAGGAUGAUCAGUCACACUGGAACUGAGACACGGUCCAGACUCCUACGGGAGGCAGCAGUGGGGAAUAUUGGACAAUGGGCGCAAGCCUGAUCCAGCCAUACCGCGUGGGUGAAGAAGGCCUUCGGGUUGUAAAGCCCUUUUGUUGGGAAAGAAAAGCAGCAGGUUAAUACCCCGCUGUUCUGACGGUACCCAAAGAAUAAGCACCGGCUAACUUCGUG